rnacentral:rRNA from 1 species
UACAGAGGUCUCAAGCGUUUGUUCGGAUUCAUUGGGGCGUAAAGGGUGCGUAGGCGGCGCGGUAAGUCGGGUGUGAAAUCGUCGGGGCUUAACUCCGAAACUGCAUUCGAUACUGCCGUGCUUGGAGGACUGGGAGAGGAGACUGGAAUUUACGGUGUAGCGGUGAAAUGCGUAAAUAUCGUAAGGAAGACCAGUGGCGAAGGCGGGUCUCUGGACAGU